rnacentral:rRNA from 1 species
UACGGGAGGCAGCAGUGGGGAAUAUUGCACAAUGGGCGCAAGCCUGAUGCAGCCAUGCCGCGUGUAUGAAGAAGGCCUUCGGGUUGUAAAGUACUUUCAGUCGUGAGGAAGGUGUUAAGGUUAAUAACCUUAGCAAUUGACGUUAGCGACAGAAGAAGCACCGGCUAACUCCGUGCCAGCAGCCGCGGUAAUACGGAGGGUGCGAGCGUUAAUCGGAAUUACUGGGCGUAAAGGGCACGCAGGCGGUUAAUUAAGUUGGAUGUGAAAUCCCCGGGCUUAACCUGGGAAUGGCAUUCAAGACUGGUUAGCUAGAGUCUUGUAGAGGGGGUAGAAUUCCAUGUGUAGCGGUGAAAUGCGUAGAGAUGUGGAGGAAUACCGGUGGCGAAGGCGGCCCCUGGACAAAGACUGAACGCUCAUGUGCGAAAGCGUGGGGAGCAAAACAGGGAUUAGAUACC